CAGGUGCAAGCACUCCCAAAAUGCAAAUACCAUGCUGCUUGAUCCUUGGUUAGCAGUCCCAGAAGAUGAUGCCACAAGUAGYCAUCAAAUUCAAAGUCAGAUCUUUUUCCACCCAGUAACAAAGCUUCUGUGGAGACCAUCUACCUUGCUCCUACAUUCAACUCUUUCCAACCUUUGUGAAGCAUCACAGCAAGUGAGGAAAUUAUGAAGCCAACACCUUCCACAUGUGAUAGCAUGCAGGCAGCUAGCAUGACUCUCUAUCCUUCUCCAAGGCCAGGUUUUGCACACAGAAGCACGUCCUCAUCUCCAGCCUACAUUUGCCAGUGCUCUGAAACAGUCCUCAAGGGGAAAGUUAAGCAACCUGCACUGUUGAGCCCUGUCGCCUGGAGAAGGUGCAGGAGAAUUUACUUUACUGAGCAGUCCUGUGUGGCCAGGAGCUGGAAGCAACCUGUGGGUUUGUUUCAUCUUCAGUGUUUGCCAUGAUAUUUGGGGUUUAGGAGAAACAAAGACAGACUCCUGACUGGAGGAGCAGCUGAGGAGACUGCUCUGAUUUCAGUGUUCCCCAUCUUCUUGGGCUGGAAGAACCUUAUCCCCAAGGACAUCUCUCCAGUGAGAGGGUGGCAACAACUCUCCAACAACUUCUGAGCAAAAUGUAGUUACUUCAAACUCCCACCCUUACCUUAAGGUUAACAAGCAACUCCCCCUGCUCUCUAGUCACCACUGGGCAUCCCCCGUCAGGUUUUUCCACCUUCUCUCCCAGCUCUGGAGGCACCUGUGAGCACAGCCAUUUCAUGUAGACACCAAUGGAAGGUGACGGUGUGGGUGGAGGGUGUAUCAGUGCAAAUAGGACCCUUUUCAGGCGCUCGGUGGCUUGGAACAGUGUCCCUUGAGGGGAGAACAGAGAGUGGUACAAGCACAGGAUUGUCCCUGUCAGCUGGCUCAUAUGUUUUACCCCUGUCCUGGCAAGUGGGAGAGCGCUGUCUGCUUGCAUUAAACCAGUUGCACCACUGAUAAGCUGCAAGCAGGCAAGGAGUUCGCUUGGGGAAAGACAUUAAAUGCAGCAGGGCAGAAAAGGCCCUUUUAAAGCACUUUUGUCUUUUUUUCUUAAAAAAAAACCCCAAACCAAAAAACACACACACAGCGAUAAGGUCUCUGGUGGAAAAUUUAUACCAAAUGAUAAGUUAAGUACGUCCAAGGAAAUAUUCAAGGUUAGACUGAAACCAAUUGGUGAGAGCCUGAGACAUACUCACUGACCUGCAAUAUGUUAAUUCACAAUGUACCUGAGAGAAAAACAUGGUCCAAAACUCCUUGGGGGUACAAAAGUGUUACUGCUGCGAGGAGCAAGUGAAAAUUGUUGAAGCUGGUGGCUGUAAUAGGCACCCUUCUUUCAGGAAGAAGGGAAGAAAGAAACAGGAAACUACUUUUGGAAUAGGCAGUUGAAAAAACUGUGCAAAGUCUUGUAAUUGACAAGGCUGGUCAGCCUGAGUUUCCAGGGAUAAGGUUUCUAGCCAGGAGCUAAAAGCAAACGGAGAGGGCAGUUUGGAUGGAAGGGGCUAUAGGCAAGUGCAGACAGAAACGUGGGUGAGGCAGGCAGAAAGCUGGGAAAGUGCAUCCCAUGCAACACAAACGGCAAGCUAAGGGAUAGUUUUGGAGGCAGAGCAUGAGUUAGGAGAGACAGUUGGGCUUUUGAGUAGCUACGUUCAGGGAAACGGCACUUUGAGUAUGUUCUUUGUCAAUAAAGAAAGUUGCACUGAGGAGAUUUUCCUCUAC
ensembl:lncRNA